rnacentral:rRNA from 1 species
CAGCCGCCGCGGUAAUACGUAGGGUGCAAGCGUUGUCCGGAAUUAUUGGGCGUAAAGAGCUCGUAGGCGGUUUGUCGCGUCUGCUGUGAAAACGCGAGGCUCAACCUCGCGCCUGCAGUGGGUACGGGCAGACUAGAGUGUGGUAGGGGAGAUUGGAAUUCCUGGUGUAGCGGUGGAAUGCGCAGAUAUCAGGAGGAACACCGAUGGCGAAGGCAGAUCUCUGGGCCAUUACUGACGCUGAGGAGCGAAAGCGUGGGGAGCGAACAGGAUUAGAUACCCGUGUAGUCCCUGUCUCUUAUAC